rnacentral:rRNA from 1 species
UACGGGGGGGGGCAAGCGUUGUUCGGAAUUACUGGGCGUAAAGAGCUCGUAGGUGGUUUGUCGCGUUGUUCGUGAAAACUCACAGCUCAACUGUGGGCGUGCGGGCGAUACGGGCAGACUUGAGUACUGCAGGGGAGACUGGAAUUCCUGGUGUAGCGGUGGAAUGCGCAGAUAUCAGGAGGAACACCGGUGGCGAAGGCGGGUCUCUGGGCAGUAACUGACGCUGAGGAGCGAAAGCGUGGGGAGCGAACAGG